AUUGAACGCUGGCGGCAUGCCUUACACAUGCAAGUCGAACGGCAGCGCGGACUUCGGUCUGGCGGCGAGUGGCGAACGGGUGAGUAAUACAUCGGAACGUACCCUGUUGUGGGGGAUAACUAGUCGAAAGAUUAGCUAAUACCGCAUACGACCUGAGGGUGAAAGUGGGGGACCGCAAGGCCUCACGCAGCAGGAGCGGCCGAUGUCUGAUUAGCUAGUUGGUGGGGUAAAGGCCCACCAAGGCGACGAUCAGUAGCUGGUCUGAGAGGACGAUCAGCCACACUGGGAGUGAGACACGGCCCAGACUCCUACGGGAGGCAGCAGUGGGGAAUUUUGGACAAGGGGGGCAACCCUGAUCCAGCAAUGCCGCGUGUGUGAAGAAGGCCUUCGGGUUGUAAAGCACUUUUGUCCGGAAAGAAAUCGCGCUGGUUAAUACCUGGCGUGGAUGACGGUACCGGAAGAAUAAGCACCGGCUAACUACGUG
rnacentral:rRNA from 1 species